rnacentral:lncRNA from 1 species
CUCAUGGGAUAUAUUUCAAGAGCUUACUCAGAAUUCCCUAAGCUCCAUCCAGAUAGAUUGGCUGCAUCCGUCAAAGCGUCUCUGAAGCUCUGCUCUCUGUCCAUCGUCCAUGCCAAUGCAUCCCCAAAGCUUCCUGCUUGAUUUCUUACAUGGGAUGGAUCCACCUUGUAGAAUACCGGAAUAACUCUCUGUCCAUUGUUUUUUCUACGCUCAAGAAUCUUAGCAAGCUCCUCCAAGCACCAUUUGGAAGAUGCAUAGUUUGCAGAAAAAACAAUCAAAGAAAGCUUGGCCUCUUCAAUUGUUCUCAGAAGUGAUGCCGAAAUCUCAUCUCCUCUCACAAGCUGAUCAUCUAUGAAAGUUAGGAGUUGUUUCCGUUUCAAAGCAGCAUGGAGGUGGCUGGUAAAACCAACACGAGUGUCUUCUCCCCUGAAACUAAGGAAGACAUCAUAUUUAAUUCCUUGUGGCUGGGCGGUGGUUAAGGUGGAAGGAGUAGAUGGGGAUGGAGAAACAAGGGCGGUGGUUAAGGUGGAAGGAGUAGAUGGGCAUGGAGAAACAAGGGUGGUUAAGGUGGAAGGAGUAGAUGGGGAUGGAGAAACAAGGGCGGUGGUUAAGGUGGAAGGAGUAGAUGGGCAUGGAGAAACAAGGGCGGUGGUUAAGGUGGAAGGAGUAGAUGGAGAUAAAUGACGGUUUCGUAUGAUGAAUCUCCAGAUAUAAGCAAACACUUCGAAGAAACAAGAGUAAUUAGACUCUGGUGGUAAGGUAGGCAUGGAGGGAGAGAGCGGAAGUAACUCAAGGAAAAAAGAUGAGGCUGAUUUUGAAUCAGUAGCUUAGGCUUUACGUGUUUAAGACCCUGCCUUAC